CCCUUAGACGUUCUGGGCCGCACGCGCGCUACACUGACGAAGGCAACGAGCUUUCCUUUACCGAAAGGUACGGGUAAUCUUUUGAAACUUCGUCGUGCUGGGGAUAGAUCCUUGCAAUUUUUGAUCUUAAACGAGGAAUGCCUAGUAAGCGCAAGUCAUCAACUUGCGUUGAUUACGUCCCUGCCCUUUGUACACACCGCCCGUCGCUACUACCGAUUGAAUGGUUUAGUGAGGUCUUCGGAUCCGCGACUCGUUUGUGGAGAAGUUGGACAAACUCAGUCAUUUAGAGGAAGUAAAAGUCGUAACA
rnacentral:rRNA from 1 species